GCCAGGGUGGCGUAGUGGUUUGUGCGUCUGCCUCCUGCGCAGGAGGCCUGGUUUCAAAUCCCGGCCUUGGUA